UGUGUGUGUGUGUGUGUGUGUGUGUUCCGUACCAGUGUUCCUGUCUGUUGUUACUCUGCUUCAUAUUGACCCCGGAUUCUGACAUUGUUCACUCUGACCUCUGGCAUCCCUUGACUUCGGCUACUCCUCUUUGUUCUUGCCCUCUGGCAUCCUUUGACCUCGGCUAUCCCUUGACAAUCCUGCUGUUUGAGUCCUUGCCUGCACUGCGACUUGGAACUUCAUUCUGCACAG